rnacentral:rRNA from 1 species
AGAGUUUGAUCCUGGCUCAGAAUCAACGCUGGCGGCGCGCUUAACACAUGCAAGUCGCACGAGAAAGGGAGCAAUCCUGAGUAAAGUGGCGCACGGGUGAGUAACACGUGGAUCAUCUACCUUUUAGUGGGGAAUACCCCCGGGAAACUGGGGACAAUACCGCAUAAGCUCGUAAGAGGAAAGCAGCAAUGCGCUGAAAGAGGAGUCCGCGGCUGAUUAGCUAGAUGGCGGGGUAACGGCCCACCAUGGCGAAGAUCGGUAGCCGGCCUGAGAGGGCACACGGCCACACUGGCACUGAAACACGGGCCAGACUCCUACGGGAGGCAGCAGUGGGGAAUCUUGCACAAUGGAGGAAACUCUGAUGCAGCGACGCCGCGUGAGCGAUGAAGCCCCUCGGGGUGUAAAGCUCUUUCGACGGGAACGAUAAUGACGGUACCCGAAGAAGAAGCUGCGGCUAACUACGUGCCAGCAGCCGCGGUAAUACGCAGGCAGCAAGCGUUGUUCGGAAUUACUGGGCGUAAAGAGUGUGUAGGUGGUGUUUUAAGUUUGGUGUGAAAUCUCCCGGCUUAACCGGGAGGGUGCGCCGAAAACUGGAAUGCUAGAGUAUGGGAGAGGUAAGCGGAAUUCCUGGUGUAGCGGUGAAAUGCGUAGAUAUCAGGAGGAACACCUGGUGUAGACAGCUUACUGGACCAUUACUGACACUGAGACACGAAAGCGUGGGUAGCAAACAGGAUUAGAUACCCUAGUAGUCC